GGGCCCGCACAAGCGGCGGAGCAUGCGGAUUAAUUCGAUGCAACGCGAAGAACCUUACCAAGGCUUGACAUACGCCGGGAUCAUGCAGAGAUGUGUGGGUCUUUGGACUGGUGUACAGGUGGUGCAUGGUUGUCGUCAGCUCGUGUCGUGAGAUGUUGGGUUAAGUCCCGCAACGAGCGCAACCCUUGUCUCGUGUUGCCAGCAUUUGGUUGGGGACUCACGGGAGACUGCCGGGGUUAACUCGGAGGAAGGUGGGGAUGACGUCAAAUCAUCAUGCCCCUUAUGUCUUGGGCUUCACGCAUGCUACAAUGGCCGGUACAGAGGGUUGCGAUACUGUGAGGUGGAGCGAAUCCUUUAAAGCUGGUCUCAGUUCGGAUCGGGGUCUGCAACUCGGCCCCGUGAAGUUGGAGUCGCUAGUAAUCGCGGAUCAGCAACGCCGCGGUGAAUACGUUCUCGGGCCUU
rnacentral:rRNA from 1 species